GCAGAGGUGGUGGAAUGGUAGACACGCUGUCUUGAGGGGGCAGUGGAUGAAAGUCCGUGAGGGUUCAAAUCCCUUUCUCUGCACCA
rnacentral:tRNA from 1 species